UCUCGCACGCUCACACGCUGGCGCUCUGGACACUAACGUUACUUACUCUGCCUCCUGCCUUUGUUUUUAACCCAACACUGUAUCUUGGAGCUUGUUCUGCAUCAGCAAACAGCUGUCUUGUUCUUUUCAAUGGAUUUUGUGCCAAAAUACAUGGAGCCUGCCCCGUGAUGGCCCCGCGGGCUGUUCUCCACUUUCUGCUUUUACAUUCACGGCCCAGUGAGAGCCUGGUCCUUGUGACAUUUCGUGCACAAAUCUGUCCUCAGGGAACAUUUCCAGAAGUGCCCUUGCCCAUUUCCCCACAUCCUCUCCGACCUGGCGGGCCACCAAUUUUUUCUUAAAUCUUUCCCAGGCCAACAGGCGAAACACCGCAUCCCCCCCCUCACAGCUCUGGUUUGCUGUCCAGUACCGAGAGCGAGGCCGGCUUCCCUGGUCCAUCUGCAGGGGGCGUCGUCACGGAAGCCCAAGGCGGCCACUGCCCUCGCUCCAUCUCGCAGGCGGGAAUGCCGCGGCCUCUGGAGACCCCUGAACCCCUGCACACCAGGAAAAGCAGCCUACACACCCAUCGAGCAGGUGGGGAGACGGCGGCCUGUGCGUGGCCGGCUUGGCCGGAGUCUGUGCGCCUGGACCGACAGGUA